rnacentral:rRNA from 1 species
GACGAACGCUGGCGGCGUGCUUAACACAUGCAAGUCGAACGGAAAGGCCCUGCUUUUGUGGGGUGCUCGAGUGGCGAACGGGUGAGUAACACGUGAGUAACCUGCCCUUGACUUUGGGAUAACUUCAGGAAACUGGGGCUAAUACCGGAUAGGAGCUCCUGCUGCAUGGUGGGGGUUGGAAAGUUUCGGCGGUUGGGGAUGGACUCGCGGCUUAUCAGCUUGUUGGUGGGGUAGUGGCUUACCAAGGCUUUGACGGGUAGCCGGCCUGAGAGGGUGACCGGCAACAGGGGGAAAGAGAAACAGCAGAGGCUGCGGCGGGAGGCAGGAGGGGGGGAGAGGGAAAAAGGGGCGGAGGAGGGAAGCAGCAAGGACGCGUGAGGGAGGACGGACGUCGGGUAGGAGACCGGGUUAGCCGGGGAAGAAGCGUGAGUGACGGGAAGGGGGAGAGAAGAAGCGGCUAACCACGUG